AGAGUUUGAUCCUGGCUCAGGACGAACGCUGGCGGCGUGCCUAACACAUGCAAGUCGAGCGGAGACAGUGAGUAGCUUGCUAUGAGCUGUUUUAGCGGCGGACGGGUGAGUAACGCGUGAGCAACCUUUCCCAGACAGGGGAAUAACACACCGAAAGGUGUACUAAUACCGCAUAGGACCACGGGAUCACAUGGUUCUGGGGUAAAAGAUUUAUCGGUUUGGGGUGGGCUCGCGUCCGAUUAGGUAGUUGGUGAGGUAACGGCCCACCAAGCCGACGAUCGGUAGCCGACCUGAGAGGGUGAUCGGCCACAUUGGGACUGAGACACGGCCCAAACUCCUACGGGAGGCAGCAGUGGGGAAUAUUGGGCAAUGGAGGAAACUCUGACCCAGCAACGCCGCGUGGAGGAAGAAGGUUUUCGGAUCGUAAACUCCUGUCCUUGGAGACGAGUAGAAGACGGUAUCCAAGGAGGAAGCCCCGGCUAACUACGUGCCAGCAGCCGCGGUAUACGUAGGGGGCAAGCGUUGUCCGGAAUAAUUGGGCGUAAAGGGCGCGUAGGCGGCUCGGUAAGUCUGGAGUGAAAGUCCUGCUUUUAAGGUGGGAAUUGCUUUGGAUACUGUCGGGCUUGAGUGCAGGAGAGGUUAGUGGAAUUCCCAGUGUAGCGGUGAAAUGCGUAGAGAUUGGGAGGAACACCAGUGGCGAAGGCGACUAACUGGACUGUAACUGACGCUGAGGCGCGAAAGUGUGGGGAGCAAACAGGAUUAGAUACCCUGGUAGUCCACACUGUAAACGAUGAAUGCUAGGUGUAGGGGGUAUCGACCCCUUCUGUGCCGCAGUCAACACAAUAAGCAUUCCGCCUGGGGAGUACGGCCGCAAGGUUGAAACUCAAAGGAGUUGACGGGGGCCCGCACAAGCAGCGGAGCAUGUGGUUUAAUUCGACGCAACGCGAAGAACCUUACCAGGUCUUGACAUCCACUUAAACUUACAGAGAUGUAAGGUGUGCUUGCACAAAGUGAGACAGGUGGUGCAUGGUUGUCGUCAGCUCGUGUCGUGAGAUGUUGGGUUAAGUCCCGCAACGAGCGCAACCCUUAUCUUCAGUUACUAACGCGUAAAGGUGAGGACUCUGAAGAGACUGCCGGGGACAACUCGGAGGAAGGUGGGGACGACGUCAAAUCAUCAUGCCCCUUAUGACCUGGGCUACACACGUGCUACAAUGGACAUGACAGAGAGAAGCGAAAUCGCAAGGUAGAGCGGAACUCAAAAAAGUGGUCCCAGUUCGGAUUGUGGGCUGCAACCCGCCCACAUGAAGUCGGAGUUGCUAGUAAUCGCGGAUCAGCAUGCCGCGGUGAAUACGUUCCCGGGCCUUGUACACACCGCCCGUCACACCAUGGGAGUUGGGAGUGCCCAAAGCCGGUGAGGCAACCGCAAGGAGCCAGCCGUCUAAGGCAAGACCAAUGACUGGGGUGAAGUCGUAACAAGAUA
rnacentral:rRNA from 1 species